rfam:Felis catus isolate Cinnamon breed Abyssinian chromosome B2, whole genome shotgun sequence.
GCCUGGGUGGCUCAGUCGGUUAAGCAUCUGACUUCGGCUCAGGUCAUCAUCUCGCGGUCCGUGGGUUCGAGCCCAGCGUCGGGCU